rnacentral:ribozyme from 2 species
UAGGUAACUCCGCCUAUGUCAUCUUAAGGCGUAACUAAAUGACAUAGCCGGUCCCAAGCCCGGAAAAAGGAGGAGGGGAUA